GGGGAUUUAGUUUAGCGGCAUAAGCGCCUGCCUUGUAAGCAGGCAAUCGCCAGUUCGAUCCCUGGUACCA
rnacentral:tRNA from 1 species